GGUCGCGUAGCUCAGUUGGUAGAGCAGUUGACUUUUAAUCAAUUGGUCGCAGGUUCGAAUCCUGCCGCGAUCAC
rnacentral:tRNA from 1 species